CCUACGGGUGACAGCAGUAGGGAAUAUUGCUCAAUGGGGGAAACCCUGAAGCAGCAACGCCGCGUGGAGGAUGAAGGUUUUCGGAUUGUAAACUGCUUUUGUACGAGGGUAAACGCAGAUACGCGUAUCUGUCUGAAAGUAUCGUACGAAUAAGGAUCGGCUAACUCCGUGCCAGCAGCCGCGGUAAUACGGAGGGUGCAAGCGUUACUCGGAAUCACUGGGCGUAAAGAGCGCGUAGGCGGGAUAGCAAGUCAGAUGUGAAAUCCUAUGGCUUAACCAUAGAACUGCAUUUGAAACUGUUAUUCUAGAGUAUGGGAGAGGUAGGUGGAAUUCUUGGUGUAGGGGUAAAAUCCGUAGAGAUCAAGAGGAAUACUCAUUGCGAAGGCGACCUGCUAGAACAUAACUGACGCUGAUGCGCGAAAGCGUGGGGAGCAAACAGGAUUAGAUACCCCUGUAGUC
rnacentral:rRNA from 1 species